rnacentral:misc_RNA from 1 species
UGAACGCACCUUGCGCCCUCUGGUAUUCUGGAGGGCAUGCCUGUUUGAGUGUCAUGUAGACUCAACCCAGUCGGGUUUUUCCGACCGAGUUGGACUUGGGUGUUGCCGUCCUCUGGCUUGCCUUAAAUUUGUUAGCGGUCCAUAAGCACCGAACCUGGCGUGAUAAGUUUCGCCCGUACUAGGAUGCAAUGUGGUCGCUCAAAACCGCCCUUGGGCAUCUUUUGAUUCUGACCUCAAAUCAGGUAGGACUACCCGCUGAACUUAA